rnacentral:rRNA from 1 species
UACAGAGGGUGCGAGCGUCAAUCGGAAUUACUGGGCGUAAAGGGUGCGUAGGUGGUUACAUAAGUUAGGUGUGAAAGUCCUGGGCUUAACCUGGGGACUGCGCCUAAUACUGUGUAGCUAGAGUACUGUAGAGGAAGGUGGAAUUUCCGGUGUAGCAGUGAAAUGCGUAGAUAUCGGAAGGAACAUCAGUGGCGAAGGCGACUCUCUGGACAGAUACUGACACUGAGGCACGAAAGCGUGGGGAGCAAACAGG